GCGGUCGUGGUGGAACUGGCAGACACGUAGCGUUGAGGUCGCUAUGGAGUAACAUCCGUGCAGGUUCAAGUCCUGUCGACCGCACCA
rnacentral:tRNA from 3 species